rnacentral:rRNA from 1 species
ACGAACGCUGGCGGCGUGCUUACACAUGCAAGUCGAAUGCGCGUUUCCGUAGCAAUACGGGAAUGGCGCACGGCGCACGGGUGCGUAACACGUGGGUAAUCUGCCCUCUGAUGGGGAAUAACCCGCCGAAAGGCGGGCUAAUACCGCAUAACAUUCCUUGGACUCCGGUUCGAGGAUUCAAAGGCGCAAGUCGUCGGAGGUGGAGCCCGCGCACGAUUAGCUAGUUGGUAGGGUAAUGGCCUACCAAGGCUAUGAUCGUUAGCUGGUCUGAGAGGAUGGCCAGCCACACUGGAACUGAGACACGGUCCAGACUCCUACGGGAGGCAGCAGUGGGGAAUCUUGCACAAUGGGCGAAAGCCUGAUGCAGCGACGCCGCGUGGGGGAUGAAGCUUCUCGGAGUGUAAACCCCUUUCGACCGGGACGAAUGCCCGCAAGGGACUGACGGUACCGGUAUAAGAAGCCCCGGCUAACUACGUGCCAGCAGCCGCGGUAAGACGUAGGGGGCCAGCGUUGCUCGGAAUUACUGGGUGUAAAGGGUUCGUAGGCGGUGUGGCAAGUCGGGAGUGAAAUCUCUGGGCUUAACUCAAGGGCUGCUU